rnacentral:misc_RNA from 1 species
GAUGAAGAACGCAGCGAAAUGUGAUACGUAAUGUGAAUUGCAGAAUUCAGUGAAUCAUCGAAUCUUUGAACGCAUAUUGCGCUCUUUGGUAUUCCGAAGAGCAUGCUUGUUUGAGUAUCAGUAAACACCUCAAAGCUUUUGGAUUUUUUAAUCGAAAAGCUUUGGACUUGAGCAAUCCCAACACCAAUCUUUUUGAGAUCGGUGGCGGGUUGCUUGAAAUGCAGGUGCAGCUGGACAUUCUCCUGAGCUAAAAGCAUAUUCAUUUAGUCCCGUCAAACGGAUUAUUACUUUUGCUGCAGCUAACAUAAAGGGAGUUUGACCGUAUUGGCUGACUGAUGCAGGAUUUCACAAGGGUCGGCAACGAUUCUUGUUAAACUCGAUCUCAAAUCAAGUAAGACUACCCGCUGAACUUAAGCAUAUCAAUAAGCGGAGGA